CCUACGGGAGGCAGCAGUGGGGGAUAUUGCACAAUGGGGGGAACCCUGAUGCAGCGACGCCGCGUGGGUGAAGAAGCGCCUCGGCGCGUAAAGCCCUGUCAGCAGGGAAGAAAAUGACGGUACCUGAAGAAGAAGCCCCGGCGAACUACGUGCCAGCAGCCGCGGUGAUACGUAGGGGGCAAGCGUUAUCCGGAGUUACUGGGUGGAAAGGGGGGGCAGACGGCGAUGCAAGCCAGGAGUGAAAGACCGGGGCCCAACCCCGGGACUGCUCUGGGAACUGCGUGGCUGGAGUGCAGGAGGGGCAGGCGGAAUUCCUGGUGUAGCGGUGAAAUGCGUAGAUAUCAGGAGGAACACCGGUGGCGAAGGCGGCUUACUGGCCUGCAACUGACGUUGAGGCUCGAAAGCGUGGGGAGCAAACAGGAUUAGAUACCCCGGUAGUC
rnacentral:rRNA from 1 species